rnacentral:piRNA from 1 species
UGUUAAUACUACUGCAUCAGGUGUUGAA